rnacentral:rRNA from 1 species
AUGGGGUCACACGGCAAGCCACCGCUACCGUACGCGUACAAGCCACUGCCCUCCGACGCCGACGGCGAGCGGGCCGGCUGCACGAGGUGGCGCGUGUGCGCCGUCGCGCUGACGGCCUCGGCCAUGGUGGUGGUGGUGGUCGGCGCCACGCUCCUGGCAGGGUUCCGGGUGGACCAGGCCGUCGAUGAGGAGGCGGCGGGCGGGUUCCCGUGGAGCAACGAGAUGCUGCAGUGGCAGCGCAGUGGCUACCAUUUCCAGACGGCCAAGAACUACAUGAGCGAUCCCAACGGUCUGAUGUACUACCGUGGAUGGUACCACAUGUUCUUCCAGUACAACCCGGUGGGCACCGACUGGGACGACGGCAUGGAGUGGGGCCACGCCGUGUCCCGGAACCUCGUCCAAUGGCGCACCCUCCCUAUUGCCAUGGUGGCCGACCAGUGGUACGACAUCCUCGGGGUUCUAUCGGGCUCUAUGACCGUGCUACCCAAUGGCACGGUCAUCAUGAUCUACACGGGGGCCACCAACGCCUCCGCCGUUGAGGUCCAGUGCAUCGCCACUCCCGCCGACCCUACCGACCCCCUCCUCCGCCGCUGGACCAAGCACCCCGCCAACCCCGUCAUCUGGUCGCCGCCGGGGGUCGGCACCAAGGAUUUCCGAGACCCGAUGACCGCUUGGUACGAUGAAUCUGAUGACACAUGGCGCACCCUCCUCGGGUCCAAGGACGACAACAACGGCCACCACGAUGGCAUCGCCAUGAUGUACAAGACCAAGGACUUCCUUAACUACGAGCUCAUCCCGGGCAUCUUGCAUCGGGUCGAGCGCACCGGCGAGUGGGAGUGCAUCGACUUCUACCCUGUCGGUCGCCGCACCAGCGACAACUCAUCGGAGAUGUUGCACGUGUUGAAGGCGAGCAUGGACGACGAACGGCAUGACUACUACUCGCUAGGCACGUACGACUCUGCGGCAAACAGGUGGACGCCGAUCGACCCGGAGCUCGACUUGGGGAUCGGGUUGAGAUACGACUGGGGUAAGUUCUACGCGUCCACCUCGUUCUAUGAUCCGGCGAAGAAGCGACGCGUGCUGAUGGGGUACGUCGGCGAGGUCGACUCCAAGCGGGCUGAUGUGGUGAAGGGAUGGGCCUCAAUUCAGUCAGUUCCAAGGACAAUUGCUCUCGACGAGAAGACCCGGACGAACCUCCUCCUCUGGCCCGUGGAGGAGAUUGAGACCCUCCGCCUCAACGCCACCGAACUCAGCGACGUCACCCUUAACACCGGCUCCGUCAUCCAUAUCCCGCUCCGCCAAGGCACUCAGCUCGACAUCGAGGCCACUUUCCACCUUGAUGCUUCUGCCGUCGCUGCCCUCAAUGAGGCCGAUGUGGGCUACAACUGCAGCAGCAGCGGCGGUGCUGUUAACCGCGGCGCGCUAGGCCCCUUCGGCCUCCUCGUCCUCGCUGCCGGUGACCGCCGUGGCGAGCAAACGGCGGUGUACUUCUACGUGUCCAGGGGGCUCGACGGAGGCCUCCAUACCAGCUUCUGCCAAGACGAGUUACGGUCGUCACGGGCCAAGGACGUGACGAAGCGAGUGAUUGGGAGCACGGUGCCGGUGCUCGACGGCGAGGCUUUCUCGAUGAGGGUGCUCGUGGACCACUCCAUCGUGCAAGGCUUCGCGAUGGGCGGGAGGACCACGAUGACGUCACGGGUGUACCCGAUGGAGGCCUAUCAGGAGGCAAAAGUGUACUUGUUCAACAAUGCCACCGGUGCCAGCGUCACGGCGGAAAGGCUCGUCGUGCACGAGAUGGACUCAGCGCACAACCAGCUCUCCAAUAUGGACGAUCACUCGUAUGUUCAAUGA